rnacentral:rRNA from 1 species
GACGAACGCUGGCGGCGUGCUUAACACAUGCAAGUCGAACGCUGAAGCUCAGCUUUUGUUGGGUGGAUGAGUGGCGAACGGGUGAGUAACACGUGAGUAACCUGCCCCCUUCUUUGGGAUAACGCCCGGAAACGGGUGCUAAUACUGGAUAUUCACUGGUCUUCGCAUGGGGGUUGGUAGAAAGGGUUUUUCUGGUGGGGGAUGGGCUCGCGGCCUAUCAGCUUGUUGGUGGGGUGAUGGCCUACCAAGGCUUUGACGGGUAGCCGGCCUGAGAGGGUGACCGGUCACAUUGGGACUGAGAUACGGCCCAGACUCCUACGGGAGGCAGCAGUGGGGAAUAUUGCACAAUGGGCGCAAGCCUGAUGCAGCGACGCCGCGUGAGGGAUGGAGGCCUUCGGGUUGUGAACCUCUUUCGCUCAUGGUCAAGCCACAACAAUGGUUGUGGUGAGGGUAGUGGGUAAAGAAGCGCCGGCUAACUACGUG